rnacentral:rRNA from 1 species
CCUAGCUUGCUAGGAGGCGUCGAGCGGCGGACGGGUGAGUAAUGCAUAGGAAUCUGCCCGGUAGUGGGGGAUAACUUGAGGAAACUCAAGCUAAUACCGCAUACGCCCCAAGGGGGAAAGCAGGGGAUCUUCGGACCUUGCGCUAUCGGAUGAGCCUAUGUCGGAUUAGCUAGUUGGUGAGGUAAUGGCUCACCAAGGCCGCGAUCCGUAGCUGGUCUGAGAGGAUGAUCAGCCACAUCGGGACUGAGACACGGCCCGAACUCCUACGGGAGGCAGCAGUGGGGAAUAUUGGACAAUGGGCGAAAGCCUGAUCCAGCCAUGCCGCGUGUGUGAAGAAGGCCUUCGGGUUGUAAAGCACUUUCAGCGAGGAAGAACGCUUGUGGGUUAAUACCCCGCAAGAAGGACAUCACUCGCAGAAGAAGCACCGGCUAACUCCGUGCCAGCAGCCGCGGUAAUACGGAGGGUGCAAGCGUUAAUCGGAAUUACUGGGCGUAAAGCGCGCGUAGGCGGCUUGAUAAGCCGGUUGUGAAAGCCCCGGGCUCAACCUGGGAACGGCAUCCGGAACUGUCAGGCUAGAGUGCAGGAGAGGAAGGUAGAAUUCCCGGUGUAGCGGUGAAAUGCGUAGAGAUCGGGAGGAAUACCAGUGGCGAACGCGGCCUUCUGGACUGACACUGACGCUGAGGUGCGAAAGCGUGGGUAGCAAACAGGAUUAGAUACCCUGGUAGUCCACGCCGUAAACGAUGUCGACUAGCCGUUGGGGUCCUCGAGACCUUUGUGGCGCAGUU